ensembl:snoRNA
AGGUGGUUUCAAAAAGGACUUGUGGGACCAAAACCAGAAGCUCUUAAUACUGUGACCAAACAACGAAAUUUUCCAUAGGAUGUAACAGUCAUUCAGCAGUGCUAUGUUUUCCUGAGGAGAUACAAGA